rnacentral:rRNA from 1 species
CAAUAGCGUAUAUUAAAGUUGUUGUGGUUAAAAAGCUCGUAGUUGAACCUUGGGCCUGGCCGUCCGGUCCGCCUCACCGCGUGUACUGGCUCGGCCGGGCCUUUCCCUCUGUGGAACCCCAUGCCCUUCACUGGGCGUGGCGGGGAAACAGGACUUUUACUUUGAAAAAAUUAGAGUGCUCCAGGCAGGCCUAUGCUCGAAUACAUUAGCAUGGAAUAAUAGAAUAGGACGUGUGGUUCUAUUUUGUUGGUUUCUAGGACCGCCGUAAUGAUUAAUAGGGACAGUCGGGGGCAUCAGUAUUCAAUUGUCAGAGGUGAAAUUCUUGGAUUUAUUGAAGACUAACUACUGCGAAAGCAUUUGCCAAGGAUGUUUUCAUUAA